rnacentral:ncRNA from 1 species
CCGGAUAGUAAUGAAAAGGGAAUCAGGUGUAAAUCCUGAACAGUCGCGCUGCUGUAAACUCAUGUAAGCGUUUAUACAAAUCCUCAAGCCACUGUUGUGAAAAACGGGAAGGUCGUAUAAACGGGAGUAAGUCAGAAGACCUGCCAAAGCAUAUA